UGCUUCCUUGUUCAGACUGCAGGCUGUGUUUUCAGACUGACUGCACAGAAAGAGGAGGUGGAGAGACCCUACCCUAUAUACACCUCAGCCCAGUCCCUGUUCCUGGUCUGCACUGAGAAUGGGGAGAGCAUAG
ensembl:snoRNA